UGUGUAGACGGCAUAUUAAGUUUGUUGUUAAAUCUUCCGGCCUAACCGGAAAUCUGCAAUGAAAACUGAUAAGCUAGAGGAUGAGAGAGAGGAGUGGAAUUCCCGGAGUAGCGGUAAAAUGCGUAGAUCUCGGGAGGAACACCAAUGGCGAAGGCAGCUCCUUGGCUCAUUUCUGACGUUGAGACACGAAAGCGUGGGUAGCAAACA
rnacentral:rRNA from 1 species